GGGCCCGUAGCUCAGCCUGGUUGGAGCACUGGUCUUAUAAGGCGGUGUUUCAUACACCUUAGGAUAGCCAGGGGUCCUGGGAUGUUAGAAGAAUAUUCUGCUAACACAGGAAUUCAAAUCCCAGCGGGCCCA
rnacentral:tRNA from 1 species